ACCCGACCUGUUUCCUGUGGCUUCGCACGUCGCGGCACCGUACACCUCCCGUAAUAAUUUUUUUGCACUGACAGUUUCUUAUCUAACCGGGGAGUCCGAGCUACUCAGCCCACUACCCAGCCGCACCUUUUUUUUCUCCUGGGAGCAGUUGGGGAUUCGGAAUUUGCCCAGCGGCCAUCGGGUGCGCGUCCGGCGGCGAGAGGUGGCCGGGGUAAGUGACCAAGCAAGCGGCAGAUAGCGUCGUCGUCGACGGGUGAAAUAAGCAGCCUCGUGGUCGGUCGUCCGAAGCGGCAGCAGUGGCGGCGUGGUGUGAUUGGCUUCAACAAGACCGACUCCCAUCGGAGCGGAAGGGGACGGGCGGCUGUUGGAUUGCAGCAACUUGUGACUUCGGUGGGCUCAACCUUAGAUUCUGUGCGUGCUGUCGCAUCCCCUUACAAGCCGAGACUGAUUUUUUUCUGCCUAGAUGUGGCGAUCUGGUCCGCUAGGUGAGAUAAGAUGUCAGGGAUAAAUUAAAAAGAACUUAUGUCUCCGCAGAUUAGACCUACGGCUGCCUCAAAUCCUGCUACUAUUCUUUAUGUGCCUUCCAUAAACAGAGCUACUAAUCAUGUUGUGUGUGUCUACAAUUCAUUGAUUCUGUCAGGUUCAGCUCCAUUUUUUCUGUUCUGAACCCAAUCAAAUGUUCACUAUUAGACUAAGCAAUACAAGAUUCAGAUGAUAAACAUAUGCAUUAUUAGAUGUAUGUAGGUUUCAUGUCAUCUCAGGGCAAUGACGGCGUGGUGGCGGCGUCAGCUGCCUGGUCGGGCCGCACGGCGGGUGGUGGCUGAGGGUGGCCUCGGCAUCAGAAGAGCGUGUGGCAGCUGCGGGAUGCAUCGUGGUGAGCAGAAGGCCCUCUUAACUGUGUCGUGGGUCGAUUCACGGCGAGCGGAGAACGUCGGUGGGCUUUGACGUAAGACGAAGAUGAAUCAGCACAGCUCUCCUGCGUCAUCUUGAACGAUUUGAAUGAAACUGGGCCUUUACCUGAUUCUUUGGAGCAGUUUAGACCCGUGAAAUUCAUAUCUAAAAAACUUGAUUUGAAGCUCCCCUUGUGCAUACUCUCCCUAAAACAAAUUGCACUUCUGUAUAUAGCUGAAUAUCUUUAUUCUUGUGUCUUGUCUAUGUAAUGUGGCUUAUGAAUCCUUCCUUCUAUUGGUGUCAUACCAAAUCAUAUCUGGAAUUGUUGUAAUGCAAGAAUGAUACAUGUCACCUACGUGACAUUUUGUAAUUCACAUUUUUUAUGUCCCAUUGUAUUACCAUAUUUA